rnacentral:rRNA from 1 species
CUUUAGACAAUGGUAGGAGAGCGUUCCAAGGGCUGUGAAGUCAUUCCGUAAGGAAUGGUGGAGCGCUUGGAAGUGAGAAUGCCGGUAUGAGUAGCGAAAGAAGGGUGAGAAUCCCUUCCACCGAAUGCCUAAGGUUUCCUGAGGAAGGCUCGUCCGCUCAGGGUUAGUCGGGACCUAAGCCGAGGCCGAAAGGCGUAGGCGAUGGACAACAGGUUGAUAUUCCUGUACCGCCUCGUUUCCAUUUGAGUGAAGGGGGGACGCAGUAGGAUAGGGUAAGCGCGCUGUUGGAUUAGCGCGUCCAAGCAGUUAGGCUGGCAAGUAGGCAAAUCCGCUUGCCAUAAGGCUGAGCUGUGAUGGCGAGGGAAAUUUAGUACCGAAGUUCCUGAUUCCACACUGCCAAGAAAAGCCUCUAGCGAGGAAACAGGCGCCCGUACCGCAAACCGACACAGGUAGGCGAGGAGAGAAUCCUAAGGUGAUCGAGAGAACUCUCGUUAAGGAACUCGGCAAAAUGACCCCGUAACUUCGGGAGAAGGGGUGCUCUUUGGGGUGCAAGCCCUGAGGAGCCGCAGUGAAUAGGCCCAGGCGACUGUUUAGCAAAAACACAGGUCUCUGCGAAGCCGCAAGGCGAAGUAUAGGGGCUGACGCCUGCCCGGUGCUGGAAGGUUAAGAGGAGGGCUUAGCGCAAGCGAAGGUCCGAAUUGAAGCCCCAGUAAACGGCGGCCGUAACUAUAACGGUCCUAAGGUAGCGAAAUUCCUUGUCGGGUAAGUUCCGACCCGCACGAAAGGCGCAACGAUCUGGGCACUGUCUCAACGAGAGACUCGGUGAAAUUAUACUAUGCGUGAAGAUGCGCAUUACCCGCGACAGGACGGAAAGACCCCGUGGAGCUUUACUGCACCCUGAUAUUGACUGUCUGUGCAGCUUGUACAGGAUAGGUAGGAGCCUUGGAAACCGGAGCGCCAGCUUCGGUGGAGGCAACGGUGGGAUACUACCCUGGCUGUAUGGACCGUCUAACCCGCACCCGUGAUCCGGGUGGGAGACAGUGUCAGGCAGGCAGUUUGACUGGGGCGGUCGCCUCCUAAAGAGUAACGGAGGCGCCCAAAGGUUCCCUCAGAAUGGUUGGAAAUCAUUCGCAGAGUGCAAAGGCAUAAGGGAGCUUGACUGCGAGACCUACAAGUCGAGCAGGGACGAAAGUCGGGCUUAGUGAUCCGGUGGUUCCGCAUGGAAGGGCCAUCGCUCAACGGAUAAAAGCUACCCCGGGGAUAACAGGCUUAUCUCCCCCAAGAGUUCACAUCGACGGGGAGGUUUGGCACCUCGAUGUCGGCUCAUCGCAUCCUGGGGCUGUAGUCGGUCCCAAGGGUUGGGCUGUUCGCCCAUUAAAGCGGUACGCGAGCUGGGUUCAGAACGUCGUGAGACAGUUCGGUCCCUAUCCGUCGCGGGCGCAGGAAAUUUGAGAGGAGCUGUCCUUAGUACGAGAGGACCGGGAUGGACGCACCGCUGGUGUACCAGUUGUCUUGCCAAAGGCAUCGCUGGGUAGCUAUGUGCGGCAGGGAUAAGUGCUGAAAGCAUCUAAGCAUGAAGCCCCCCUCAAGAUGAGAUUUCCCAUUGCCUGGCUUGCCAGGCAGGUAAGAUCCCUGAAAGACGAUCAGGUAGAUAGGUCCGGUGUGGAAGUGUGGCGACACAUGGAGCUGACGGAUACUAAUCGAUCGAGGACUUAAUCUU